AAAGUCGUAACAAGGUUUCCGUAGGUGAACCUGCGGAAGGAUCAUUACUGAAUUAACGAGGUUGCUGUUCUGGCUCUUAGGAGCAUGUGAACGUAGCUUCAAAUUCACCUUUACCCACUGUGCACUUUUGUAAACUACAACGACUCUCAACGAUCGACUUUCACAAGUUGGUCUGUUGGAUGGAGGGAUUUGCGUCUUAGCUAUCCUUCAAUGUUGUAGUUUAUGUUAUAUCUCCCUAUAAACAAGUCCUAGAAUGUCAUUUGUGGGUCUCUGACCUAUAAAACUAAUACAACUUUCAACAACGGAUCUCUUGGCUCUC
rnacentral:misc_RNA from 1 species